rnacentral:misc_RNA from 1 species
CCAUUUUUCUAUACAAAGUGAAGUUUGUGCGAUCCGCAGCCAUCUUGCGGAACUUCGGAGCGGUUACUUGUCAUCUGUCAUUGGUGUCAUCUGUCACAUUGACAUUGACGUUCCAGACCAAAACAAAGUUUAUUAGUGUCUCGUGCGUUGUUUUUCAAGUGUUUGUGCAUUAAUUAUCAGUGAAAAAUGUCUACCGAAACGGAAACUUUAAAAAAACUACGAGUAAAGAGGUCUCAGUGUAAGGGAACAAUCACUAGAAUUGAGAAUUUUGUACAAGACCCCGUAAGUUUAGCUGCCGCGAGCGCCGACAUUCUUGAGGCGCGCAAGGAAAAGUUAAUUUCAACACUCAAAGAUUAUGAGAAGGUCCAGAUGGACAUACUAGGCAUCGAUGAAGGAGACAGCGAACAGGUGGGAGAUAUUGAAGAUAAAUAUUAUUCAAUAUUAGCCAAAAUUAAUAGUUCUCUUAAAAUGUUGAAUACCAAAGUAACUUCAGAGUGCCACAAUGCUUCUACUUGCAAGUUACCAACAAUUGAAAUACCAUUCUAUGAUGGCAAAGACUUCACCAAGUUUAAACCCUUUUUUGACUUGUUUUCUGCUGUAAUUGAUAACAAUAACUCAUUGAGUGAUGUGCAGAAACUUUUCUAUUUGAGAAAGUACUUGCAAGAAGAUGCAUUGGCAGUAAUAGUAAAUCUGCCUUUAGUAAAUGAAUCUUAUAAAGAAGCAAUACACUUGUUAAAAAGGAGAUUUGAUAACAAAGCUAGAUUAAUAGCAAAUCAUAUAAGUAUAUUGUUGGAUAUUCCUACAAUGCAAAAGGGCACAGCGGUCUCCAUACGAACAUUUGUUUCCCAAAUAAAUCAACAAAUCCAUGCUCUAAAAAAUUUAGAAGAACCCGUUGAUAAAUGGGACAUGCUUUUAAUUUCAAUCUUGACACGCAAAUUGGAUCAAUUUACAAAUCGGGCUUAUCAAUUAGACCGAGAUUUAGACACCAUGCCUACUAUGGCUAGUUUCAUUGAGUAUUUGGAGAAGCGUGCUAUAGCGCUUGAAGAUAGUCAACCAAAUAAACAUAGUACCUGCUAUGAAGGUACUAACAAACAUUUCAAUAUUAAAAGCACUUGCUAUGAAGGUGCUCAUAAAUCAAUACCUAAGGUAACAAAUGUGGUAUCGAAAUCGCUGCCGCCCUGUAGGUAUUGUGAAAAUAAAGACCAUCAGAUAUAUAACUGUCACAUAUUCAAAAUGCUACCUGUUGCUCAGAGGCAAUCUUAUGUAAAAGAGAAACACAUGUGUGAUGUGUGUCUUAACAAUCAUGAAGGGAAAUGUAAAUUUACAUUUAAAUGUAAAAUAUGUAAACAGGGCCACAACACAUUGCUGCACCAGGAGCGCAAUGUAAGUGUGGACAAGCCCACAAUUGUUGAUGUCAGCGCGCACCCACCAUCACCAGAUGCUGGGUUGCAUAAAAACUGAAAAUGGACCUGUAUUCCAGAAUACCAUGUUAGGAUAUAUUGUUGGAGGAAGUAUUCCUGAAAAAGGACACCACUGCGUGUUUAAUCCCUCGAGUCGCACCUCACACCAUCGUGUGGUCUUUGACGGGUCGAUGAGAUCUAGAAAUGGGACAUCGUUGAAUCAAGUCAUGCUGAAUGGGCCUGUUGUACAGAGUGAGCUUUUUGAUAUUCUUAUUUUGUUCAGGACUUAUCCAUAUAUUUUAACAUGUGACAUUCAAAAAAUGUUUCGCAAUGUUUUUAUAAAUGAACAUCAACGCGGACUUCAAAACAUUUUAUGGCGCGAUUCGCCUAAAGACCCUAUCAACUGCUUGCAGCUCCAGACUGUUACAUACGGCUUGAAAUCAAGCACAUUUUUAGCUACAAGAGUUCUCAAUGAACUAGCAAAUAUGCAUAAGGAUCAGUUCCCUUUGGCCGCACAGGCAAUUUAUAAAAAUACAUUUGUUGAUGAUGUGCUGACUGGUGCUGAUGAUGUAGAGACGCUUCAGGAGCUGAAAAAUCAAAUUGUAGAGCUUCUAAAAUUAGGUAGUUUCUCAUUACAUAAAUGGUGCUCGAACGAUUCUUCAUUAAUAGCUGAUAUACCAGUUGAGCACAGACAAAUUGACAGUGUGGAGAUCGGUCAAAAUGACACUGUGAAGACUCUAGGUCUCACACUCCAAAUUAAUUCUGAUAAAUUGACUUUCUCUUGCCCUGCAAUUGAUGAAGCAACAAUGCUCAACACAAAAAGAAAAAUUCUCAGUUUUAUAGGGAAAAUGUUUGACCCACUUGGUUUAAUAGGCCCAGUAAUUGUGGUGGCCAAGUUAUUCAUGCAAGAACUCCAUAGCUCUUUGCCUAAAGAUUGGGACUCUACAAUCCCAAACGAACUGUUUCAGCACUGGUCUAAGUUUCUGAACAAUUUAAAACAAAUGGGUCAAAUUAAAAUAGAUAGAUGUGUAAAAUUUAACUUAGUAUCUCAUGUAGAGUUAAUAGGAUAUGCCGAUGCAUCCAUAAAAGCCUUCGGAGGCUGUCUCUACUUAAGAGUCUUUAUGACUGACGGCUCAGUUAGAGUGAACCUAUUAUGUUCGAAAUCCCGAGUGUCAUCACUGAGCAAAUCUCAUACUAUUCCUCAAUUGGAGCUCUCUGCUGCUCUACUUUUAGCACAAUUGUCAAGUAGAGUCAGUAACAUUUUAAAUGAUCGAGUAUCUCAUAAAGUAUUUCUCUAUAGUGAUUCCCAAAUUGUUUUGUGGUGGAUCAAGACAGAAGCAGCAAAGAGUACUGUAUAUGUAAAAAAUAGAGUCAAGCAAAUUGUAGAGCUAACUGAAAAAUCACAGUGGUUGUAUGUUAGAUCAAAAGAUAAUCCUGCUGAUCUUUUAUCAAGGGGAAUUGAACCUCACAGGCUGCAGGAGUGUCAUCUGUGGUGGCAUGGUUCACCUAGUCUUAGCGAUGUGAGUUAUUCACAUACAAAUUCAGAAGAAUUUAAUUAUGAAAAUAUUAUGCCUUUUACAGACUCGCAUGAGACAGUCAGUGCACCUUCUGAAAAUGUAAAGGGAAUCUUGUGCCAUGCUACAAAUGUAGAGCCCCUAGAUUUAUUAAACAAAUAUUCUAAUAUAAAUAAACUUCAAAGGGUGGUAGCUAUUAUUUAUAGAUUUUAUAAUAACUGCUUGAACAAAAAUAAUAAAAUAACAAGCAGCUACUUAACUGCAAAUGAAUUGCGUGACUCUAUGUUGAAAAUUGUACGUUGUACUCAGGUAGAGCAUUUAAGUAAAGAAUUAGUCUUGCUCUCCAAAAAUAAGCCUGUGACAAUUAGCGAUCAAAUAGUAUUUUUAGAUAAAUACAAUGUCAUUAGGGCUGUGGGAAGACUGCAAAAUGCAGACAACUUGCCUUAUGACAAGCGGCAUCCUGCAAUACUUCCAAAAAGCUCCUUUAUUACCAAACUUAUUAUAGAACGGGAGCACUUAAGACUUUUGCAUGCAGGUGCUAGACAAGUGUUAGGCUCUCUAUCUCAGAGGUACCAUCUCGUGAAUGGUAUACGAGAAGUAAAAAAGGUCGUACAUAAAUGUAUGAAAUGCAUACGAAUGAAAGCUGAAGCAGCAAAGCAGUUGAUGGGAGACCUUCCUAAAGAAAGAAUCACACAAAGCAGACCCUUUCAGCAUGUAGGAAUCGAUUUCUGCGGCCCCUUUAACGUAAAGGUGUCUCGCAUCAGGAAGCCUGUUAUCACUAAAGGCUAUAUCGCGCUUUUUGUUUGCUUUGCUGUAAAAGCGAUACACUUAGAACUUGUUUCUGAUCUCACGACCGAAACUUUCUUAGCAUGUCUUAAGCGUUUUAUUUCUCGGCGUGGCAUGCCCACAAAUAUUUAUUGUGACAAUGCAAAAACCUUUAAAGGCGCUUGCAAUACAUUAAACAAAUUGUAUGAUCUAUUUUCCUCCAAACAUUGUAGAGACUCUGUUAACGAAUUCUGUUCAGAUAGGUACAUAACAUUCAAUUGGAUACCGAGUUACUCACCAACGUUCGGAGGAAUUUGGGAAUGUGGAGUGAAAGGUUUCAAACAUCACUUUAAAAGAAUAGUAGGCAAUUUGUGCCUGACCUACGAACAACUUAAUACUGUAAUCAUAGAAAUUGAAGGCAUUAUGAAUAGUAGACCUUUACUCUCUGCUAUCUCUAAUGAUUGUGAAUAUAUUACCCCUGGACACUUCAUUUGUGGCACAGCUUUGACGAGUUAUCCUGAAAUUGAUCUCACUGAAACUUCAGUAAAUAGAGUUUCAUUUUGGAAAAUGUGUACCAAGCUUAAGCAAGAUUUCUGGAAAACCUGGUCUCAAACUUAUUUAACUCAGCUCCAAAGCCGCCCCAAAUGGAAAUACCAGCAAACCAAUUUAAAAGAAGGUGAUUUGGUAAUUGUAAAAGAUAUAAACACCUCUCCAUUAAAUUGGCCAAUGGCUCGCAUAGUAAAAACUUUCCCUGGUAGGGACGGAUUAGUAAGAGUAGCUGAUGUUAAAAUCAAUAAUAAAAUAUUCCGUAGAGCCAUUACAAAAUUAUGUCCUUUACCUGUGAUGUAGAGCUCAUAUAUUUUCUUAUAUUUAGAUUUAAUUGGCGGGUCCAACCUUUACUGUAAUGUAAUACUGCCUGGCCCCAACUAUGUUUAAUACAAAACAUAUAAAGUGUAAGCUUAGCUUAAGUAUUUUUAGUUGUAGCAACAUAAUUUGUAGUUGCCUUAUGGUUGCAUCUGGCAACUCUCUCUCUUCUUCCGCGAUCCAACCCGACGACAUUGUACGCGACCACUUAAUGUAACUUUAAUUGUUUAAAAAGUUAAUAAAACGUAAUUUAAAUUCAAAAA